UGCAGUCGAGCGAACGGACGAGAAGCUUGCUUCUCUGAUGUUAGCGGCGGACGGGUGAGUAACACGUGGAUAACCUACCUAUAAGACUGGGAUAACUUCGGGAAACCGGAGCUAAUACCGGAUAAUAUUUUGAACCGCAUGGUUCAAAAGUGAAAGACGGUCUUGCUGUCACUUAUAGAUGGAUCCGCGCUGCAUUAGCUAGUUGGUAAGGUAACGGCUUACCAAGGCAACGAUGCAUAGCCGACCUGAGAGGGUGAUCGGCCACACUGGAACUGAGACACGGUCCAGACUCCUACGGGAGGCAGCAGUAGGGAAUCUUCCGCAAUGGGCGAAAGCCUGACGGAGCAACGCCGCGUGAGUGAUGAAGGUCUUCGGAUCGUAAAACUCUGUUAUUAGGGAAGAACAUAUGUGUAAGUAACUGUGCACAUCUUGACGGUACCUAAUCAGAAAGCCACGGCUAACUACGUGCCAGCAGCCGCGGUAAUACGUAGGUGGCAAGCGUUAUCCGGAAUUAUUGGGCGUAAAGCGCGCGUAGGCGGUUUUUUAAGUCUGAUGUGAAAGCCCACGGCUCAACCGUGGAGGGUCAUUGGAAACUGGAAAACUUGAGUGCAGAAGAGGAAAGUGGAAUUCCAUGUGUAGCGGUGAAAUGCGCAGAGAUAUGGAGGAACACCAGUGGCGAAGGCGACUUUCUGGUCUGUAACUGACGCUGAUGUGCGAAAGCGUGGGGAUCAAACAGGAUUAGAUACCCUGGUAGUCCACGCCGUAAACGAUGAGUGCUAAGUGUUAGGGGGUUUCCGCCCCUUAGUGCUGCAGCUAACGCAUUAAGCACUCCGCCUGGGGAGUACGACCGCAAGGUUGAAACUCAAAGGAAUUGACGGGGACCCGCACAAGCGGUGGAGCAUGUGGUUUAAUUCGAAGCAACGCGAAGAACCUUACCAAAUCUUGACAUCCUUUGACAACUCUAGAGAUAGAGCUUUCCCCUUCGGGGGACAAAGUGACAGGUGGUGCAUGGUUGUCGUCAGCUCGUGUCGUGAGAUGUUGGGUUAAGUCCCGCAACGAGCGCAACCCUUAAGCUUAGUUGCCAUCAUUAAGUUGGGCACUCUAAGUUGACUGCCGGUGACAAACCGGAGGAAGGUGGGGAUGACGUCAAAUCAUCAUGCCCCUUAUGAUUUGGGCUACACACGUGCUACAAUGGACAAUACAAAGGGCAGCGAAACCGCGAGGUCAAGCAAAUCCCAUAAAGUUGUUCUCAGUUCGGAUUGUAGUCUGCAACUCGACUACAUGAAGCUGGAAUCGCUAGUAAUCGUAGAUCAGCAUGCUACGGUGAAUACGUUCCCGGGUCUUGUACACACCGCCCGUCACACCACGAGAGUUUGUAACACCCGAAGCCGGUGGAGUAA
rnacentral:rRNA from 1 species